UCCUGGUGGCGAGUGGCGAACGGGUGAGUAACAUAUCGGAACGUAUCCAAUAAUGGGGGAUAACUAGUCGAAAGACUUGCUAAUACCGCAUACGCCCCACGGGGGAAAGCAGGGGAUCGCAAGACCUUGCGUUAAUGGAGCGGCCGAUAUCUGAUUAGCUAGUUGGUGGGGUAAAGGCCCACCAAGGCAUCGAUCAGUAGCUGGUCUGAGAGGACGACCAGCCACACUGGAACUGAGACACGGUCCAGACUCCUACGGGAGGCAGCAGUGGGGAAUUUUGGACAAUGGGGGCAACCCUGAUCCAGCCAUUCCGCGUGAGUGAAGAAGGCCUUCGGGUUGUAAAGCUCUUUCGCAAGGGAAGAAAACUUACUUAAUAACACUAGGUGAGGCUGACGGUACCUUGAUAAGAAGCACCGGCUAACUACGUGCCAGCAGCCGCGGUAAUACGUAGGGUGCGAGCGUUAAUCGGAAUUACUGGGCGUAAAGCGUGCGCAGGCGGUUUGAUAAGUCAGAUGUGAAAGCCCCGGGCUCAACCUGGGAACUGCGUUUGAAACUAUCAGACUGGAGUAUGGCAGAGGGGGGUAGAAUUCCACGUGUAGCAGUGAAAUGCGUAGAGAUGUGGAGGAAUACCAAUGGCGAAGGCAGCCCCCUGGGUCAAUACUGACGCUCAUGCACGAAAGCGUGGGGAGCAAACAGGAUUAGAUACCCUGGUAGUCCACGCCCUAAACGAUGUCUACUAGUUGUUGGGAGAGUAAAAUCUCUUAGUAACGCAGCUAACGCGUGAAGUAGACCGCCUGGGGAGUACGGUCGCAA
rnacentral:rRNA from 1 species